rnacentral:rRNA from 1 species
UGACCUGCGGAAGGAUCAUUACCGAGUGCGGGCCCCUCGGGGCCCAACCUCCCACCCGUGUUGCCCGAACCUAUGUUGCCUCGGCGGGCCCCGCGCCCGCCGACGGCCCCCCUGAACGCUGUCUGAAGUUGCAGUCUGAGACCUAUAACGAAAUUAGUUAAAACUUUCAACAACGGAUCUCUUGGUUCCGGCAUCGAUGAAGAACGCAGCGAAAUGCGAUAACUAAUGUGAAUUGCAGAAUUCAGUGAAUCAUCGAGUCUUUGAACGCACAUUGCGCCCUCUGGUAUUCCGGAGGGCAUGCCUGUCCGAGCGUCAUUGCUGCCCUCAAGCCCGGCUUGUGUGUUGGGCCCCGUCCCCCCCGCCGGGGGGACGGGCCCGAAAGGCAGCGGCGGCACCGCGUCCGGUCCUCGAGCGUAUGGGGCUUCGUCACCCGCUCUAGUAGGCCCGGCCGGCGCCAGCCGACCCCCAACCUUUAAUUAUCUCAGGUUGACCUCGGAUCAGGUAGGGAUACCCGCUGAACUUAAGCAUAUCAAUAAGCGGAGGAAAAGAAACCAACCGGGAUUGCCCUAGUAACGGCGAGUGAAGCGGCAAGAGCUCAAAUUUGAAAGCUGG